GUCCCUACGGGGCGCAGCAGUGAGGAAUAUUGGUCAAUGGCCGAGAGGCUGAACCAGCCAAGUCGCGUGAGGGAUGACGGCCCUACGGGUUGUAAACCUCUUUUGUCGGGGAGCAAGACCCGCCUCGUGCAGGCGGAGCGAGAGUACCCGAAGAAAAAGCAUCGGCUAACUCCGUGCCAGCAGCCGCGGUAAUACGGAGGGUGCGAGCGUUAAUCGGAAUCACUGGGCGUAAAGAGUGCGUAGGCGGAUUUUCAA
rnacentral:rRNA from 1 species